CAAAAGUGCGCUAGAAUUUCUGACUGUCUCUUGCAUAAAUCAUUAAAAGUGGUUCCGCACUGCAGUCUCACGACUUGAAGUAAGAACGAAUUUUUCAUCGCAUCACGCCACGGAUUGGUACGGGAGAUGACGGAGGAUAUUCGAAUCGAAGAACAAGCGUGAAUAAAACGCAAUGACAAGUGGAAUGGACAAACUGGAAGACGCUAGUUUUGUUCUCUUGCUUUCUGUCUUCUCUUUGAUUCGACACAUCCAUUCUCCCUUACAACGAUACUAACUUUUUCUUUCUUUAA